rnacentral:lncRNA from 1 species
CAGGAGUAAAAGGUGGGAGUUUAAAAGCAGGGGGGUUUGGAAGGAGAUUUCCAAGCUUCCUUUGAAUGUCAUCCCAUUGUGUUGAAGCUCCUUCUACAUCCUUGUACACGAAAUGGUAAUCCCCAAUUUUAUUAAACCUUCUUCUCUCUCACACAAACACACAGAGGUGUGCAGUUAAUACUAGGAGAAUACUACGUUUCGCGGAGUUUCUCAAAUCUUCUGUUAUUACUUUGUCCGGGAAAACUGAGGCGAGUGCUUCUGUUUAGAGAAAAUAGCACUCAGUCACCCCCCCCCCCCCCCCCNNNNNNNNNNCGCUCUUCCGAUCUUUCCUAGAAUAGCCUUUGAAGAUUUCAUGACUGAGUAUGAUGUUUCCCCUCCCCUUUUUUUGGUUAAAACAUUUCUUUCCAAUUGAUAUCCCAAAAAAUAUUUAUAGUUGGAGAUUCAGUAAGAGAUUGGACUACUCCUACUCAUUUACAUCAUUCUUCUUACUAAAUUCUAAUUUGCUCUAAGUACAUUAUAGUAUAGGAUUUCCUAGUAACUAGAGGCUAAGGAUUUUUGUUGAGCUUGGCCAGUCCAGCUUGCCAUUUCCUGCAGUUUCUGCCUCGGAUGUGAAUUGAUAAGGCUAUUUCUCUGCACAGUAGAGAUGCAUCAAAAGUUGUCCUAUUAAAUCUGAUAUUGUUUCUUUCUUUCCAGAUAAGAGCCACAGUAUUUAUGAAGGCACAUGCUGUGAUAUUAUUAAGUGCCACUCUGCUCUUGGCCUUGCUGCACACCCACAUCAUUUCUGUUUCCCAGUUUUCCACAGUCCUAUGGUGACCCAGCCAGGAGCACAUUCUGUUCCACAAGUUCUUAGUGACUGGGCAGUCAAAGAACAGAUGGCUAAAUGUCUCACUGCUAUGAUCACAAAAUACACAAUUUCC